rnacentral:rRNA from 1 species
UACGUAGGGGGCAAGCGUUGUCCGGAUUUAUUGGGCGUAAAGAGCUCGUAGGCGGUUCCGUAAGUCGAGUGUGAAAAAUCUGGGCUCAACCCAGUGGAGCACUUGAUACUGCGGUGACUAGAGUACGGUAGAGGAGUGUGGAAUUCCUGGUGUAGCGGUGAAAUGCGCAGAUAUCAGGAGGAACACCAACGGCGAAGGCAGCACUCUGGGCCGGUACUGACGCUGAGGAGCGAAAGCGUGGGGAGCAAACAGG